GUUAAGCACUCAAAUUAAACCCUCUUUUGACAAUUGUAGUAUAUGUAUAAGUAGGGAUCAUUCUGGACCGGGGAUUAGGAGGGAUUGCUAAUCUAAACUAAACUGACUUACAAAACGAAACUUAAAAACACUUAACUAGACUCUAUAGACUCAAAAUACUUAAAAACACAAACUAAAAUAGAUUCUAACUAAUUAGACACACUAAAGUAAAGGGGGAUUGGGUUUUGGACGAAAAUAAAGUACGACAAAACAAAAACUAGAACUAAACAGAUUUGCACGAAAU
rnacentral:lncRNA from 1 species